GAAGCGAACCAAGUCCUACAAUGAUAUGCAAAAUGCUGGCAUAGUCCAUGCGGAGAAUGAGGAGGAGGAUGACGUUCCUGAAAUGAACAGCAGCUUUACAGCCGAUUCUGGUGAACAAGACGAGCACACUCUCCAAGAAACAGCAUUACCACCUGUGAAUAGUAGCAUCAUCGCUGCUCCCAUCACGGACCCUUCUCAGAAGUUCCCUCAAUACCUACCUCUUUCUGCAGAGGAUAAUUUAGGUCCUCUACCUGAAAACUGGGAGAUGGCCUAUACUGAAAAUGGAGAAGUCUAUUUUAUAGAGUAAAGUAUACCAUUAUUUCUACCUAAAUCUCUCUCUCUUUCUUUUCCCUUCCUUCCCUCUGUCUAGCAGUUGCCAAUGUAAAUUACAUUUAAGGGAUUGAUCACCCACUGAUGGUAUUUUUUAAUAAGGUUUAAUAAGUUUUGCAUAAAAAGGUAAUUAAUUAUUAUCUGCUUAUCGAUUCUCAACAGUUUGAGGAAGCAUAAGGUUAAUCAUUUCCCUAAAGGUUUAGACAACUAAACUAUGGUAUAUAGAAAUUAUAACAUAAUAUUCAAAGAGCAUAUUUAACCAUUAAAAAUAAAUAUAUUUUUAUAUAUUUAAAUAUUUUAAUAAAUAUUUAAAUAUAUUUAUAAAUAUUUAAAUAUAUUUAAAUAUUUUAAUAUAUUUAAAAAUAAAUAUAUUAAAAAUAAAUAUAUUGCUUUUUUUUUCUUAAUUGAACUACAGUGUCCUUAUUGUUUUAAGACUUCUUCAUAUAUUCUGGAUAUAAUUCCUUUAUCAUAUAUGUGAUUUGUAUGCAUUUUCUCUAAGUCUGGCUUUUCUGUUCAUUGUCUC
rnacentral:sRNA from 1 species